GAUGAACGCUAGCGGCAGGCCUAACACAUGCAAGUCGAGGGAGGAGCUUUCGGGCUUCGACCGGCGUACGGGUGCGUAACGCGUAUACAAUCUGCCUUUCACAUAGGGAUAGCCCGAAGAAAUUUGGAUUAAUACCUAAUAGUAUAUAGAUGUGGCAUCACCUUUAUAUUAAAGCUGAGGCGGUGAAAGAUGAGUAUGCGUUCUAUUAGCUAGUUGGAGAGGUAACGGCUCCCCAAGGCUACGAUAGAUAGGGGUUCUGAGAGGGAUAUCCCCCACACUGGUACUGAGAUACGGACCAGACUCCUACGGGAGGCAGCAGUGAGGAAUAUUGGACAAUGGUCGGAAGACUGAUCCAGCCAUGCCGCGUGCAGGAAGACGGCCUUAUGGGUUGUAAACUGCUUUUGCAGGGGAAGAAUAAGGACUACGAGUAGUUUGAUGACGGUACUCUGCGAAUAAGCAUCGGCUAACUCCGUGCCAGCAGCCGCGGUAAUACGGAGGAUGCGAGCGUUAUCCGGAAUCAUUGGGUUUAAAGGGUCCGUAGGCGGGCUAAUAAGUCAGAGGUGAAAGCGUUCAGCUCAACUGAGCAACUGCCUUUGAAACUGUUAGUCUUGAAUGGUUGUGAAGUAGUUGGAAUGUGUAGUGUAGCGGUGAAAUGCUUAGAUAUUACACAGAACACCGAUAGCGAAGGCAUAUUACUAACAAUUAAUUGACGCUGAUGGACGAAAGCGUGGGGAGCGAACAGG
rnacentral:rRNA from 1 species